CUAAUAUCUUAGAUUAAGAGAGUAGUCUAGCAAUAUUUUCAAGCGAGAUAGGAUUAGGUGCAAGCCUAUCAAAUAGCGUUAGAUGAACCGCACUUAUGAGAUGGAAGUUAUUCCCGCCAACGAGCGUUAACGAUAUGAGGGAACUGGCCCAGCCAGUUAACUAGAGUGGUACCGCGAUUAUACGUCUCUUUG
rnacentral:ncRNA from 1 species